rnacentral:rRNA from 1 species
UACGGGGGGGGCAAGCGUUGUUCGGAAUUACUGGGCGUAAAGGGCUCGUAGGCGGCCAACUAAGUCAGACGUGAAAUCCCCAGGCUUAACCUGGGAACUGCGUCUGAUACUGGAUGGCUUGAAUUCGGGAGAGGGAUGCAGAAUUCUAGGUGUAGCGGUGAAAUGCGUAGAUAUCUGGAGGAAUACCGGUGGCGAAGGCGGGUUGCUGGGCUGACACUGACGCUGACAGCGCGAAAGCUAGGGGAGCGAACGGG